rnacentral:rRNA from 1 species
AUUGAACGCUGGCGGCAUGCUUUACACAUGCAAGUCGAACGGUAACAGGCCUUCGGGUGCUGACGAGUGGCGAACGGGUGAGUAAUGCAUCGGAACGUACCCAGAGGUGGGGGAUAACGCAGCGAAAGCUGUGCUAAUACCGCAUGUGAUCUGAGGAUGAAAGCGGGGGACCGAGCAGCAAUGUUUGGCCUCGCGCCUUUGGGGCGGCCGAUGUCGGAUUAGCUAGUUGGUGGGGUAAAGGCCUACCAAGGCGACGAUCCGUAGCUGGUCUGAGAGGACGACCAGCCACACUGGAACUGAGACACGGCCCAGACUCCUACGGGAGGCAGCAGUGGGGAAUUUUGGACAAUGGGCGCAAGCCUGAUCCAGCAAUGCCGCGUGCGGGAAGAAGGCCUUCGGGUUGUAAACCGCUUUUGGCAGGAACGAAACGGUGUCCGCUAAUACCGGGCGCUAAUGACGGUACCUGCAGAAUAAGCACCGGCUAACUACGUG